rnacentral:rRNA from 1 species
UACAGAGGUCUCAAGCGUUGUUCGGAUUCAUUGGGCGUAAAGGGUGUGUAGGUGGCGCGCUAAGUCGGGUGUGAAAUUUCGGAGCUUAACUCCGAAACUGCAUUCGAUACUGGCGUGCUUGAGGACUGGAGAGGAGACUGGAAUUCAUGGUGUAGCAGUGAAAUGCGUAGAGAUCAUGAGGAAGACCAGUGGCGAAGGCGGGUCUCUGGACAGUUACUGACACUGAGACACGAAGGCCAGGGGAGCAAACGGG